rnacentral:rRNA from 1 species
UACGUAGGGGACAAGCGUUGUCCGGAUUUAUUGGGCGUAAAGAGCGUGUAGGCGGUUAGGUAGGUCCGUUGUGAAAACUCGAGGCUCAACCUCGAGACGCCGAUGGAAACCAUCUGACUAGAGUCCGGAAGAGGAGAGUGGAAUUCCUGGUGUAGCGGUGAAAUGCGCAGAUAUCAGGAAGAACACCCGUGGCUAAGGCGGCUCUCUAGUACGUGACUGACGCUGAGACGCGAAAGCGUGGGGAGCGAACAGG